rnacentral:rRNA from 1 species
CAGCCGCCGCGGGAAUACGUAGGUGGCAAGCGUUGUCCGGAAUUAUUGGGCGUAAAGCGCGCGCAGGCGGCCUAUCCAGUCUGUCUUAAAAGUGCGGGGCUCAACCCCGUGAUGGGAAAGAAACUAUGUGUCUUGAGUACAGGAGAGGAAAGCGGAAUUCCCAGUGUAGCGGUGAAAUGCGUAGAUAUUGGGAGGAACACCAGUGGCGAAGGCGGCUUUCUGGACUGCAACUGACGCUGAGGCUCGAAAGCCAGGGGAGCGAACGGGAUUAGAUACCCCAGUAGUCCCUGUCUCUUAUACC